GACAGUGAUGGAGAUGGAGGCGGCGGCAAUAGAGUCUGGUGCUUCUCCUUUGCUGUGGAGGCAUGUGUGUGAAAGAGUUCACAGAAGGAGAAGAGGAGGCAUGGAUGAAAAACUUGGUUGCUGCCUAUGGCAGUGAGGAAAAAAGCCAACAAUACCCUACACCCUCAGUGUAAAGGCCAGCCUAAGAUGUGUUAUUGACUGAAGAGGCCUCCGGAUGACAGGUGAAUGAUGGAGCCGUGCCAUGGUGGUGUGCAGGCUACUCUGGGGAGCACCACCACAGCAGGAAGGUGGCGGUCACACAGAGACAUCAUUUGCUGUCUAACUCCAGGGGUGCUGUCUGAGCUGGGAUCAAGGCAGAACACAGUGAAUAUCUGAAGUUGGGCUACAAUCAAUGCCUUCCUAUGUUUGUUUCUCUGCUGUAAUGAGUUUAAUCUAGGCUUUUCAAAAAGCAAAACUAAGGGGGAAAGUGGAAUCACAAAACCAGCUGCUCACACACUGUUCCUUGGGCUUGGGGAAACCGGCUAGGUAGCUGGAAAAAUUACUGCAAUGUCAUUUCCUUUCAUUACAAUGCACGAACCUUUUCUCUCUCUUUUUGGUCACAUUAUCUGGCAGAUAUUACUGGAUCUGCCUCAUUAUCUAAAGCUCCCUGACAUCCAUGCAUGCAAGCUGUUAAGGCAAUUCAGAAAGAGUGUCAGCUAAACUGUCUUGGUCCGGAUUGAAUCCUUCCUUCCCAUUAAAGGAAUAAUAUGUGGCCUAUCUCCACUCCUCUGCAGUGUUUGCAAGCAUGUGAAUAGAACUGGUCCAGUAGAUUCUUACUUAUUUAUCUAUUUUAUUUAUUUAUUUAUUUACUUACUUGAUUGAUUGAUUGAUUGAUUGAUUGAUAUUACGCCCUUCGAAAAAUGGCUCAGGACAGUUUACAGCAAGAUAAAACAAAACAACUAAAAUAAAAACUAAAUAAAUUAAACAAUAAGAUAAAUUUAACAUUAAAAACUACCACUAAAAAUGUAAAAACAUUAAUCUAAUCAAAGGCCUGGGUGAAUAAAUGUAUCUUCAGUACCUUUUUAAAAGUUGUGAGAGAUGGGGAGGAUUUUAUUGCAACAGGGAGUGCAUUCCAAAGUCCAGGGGCAGCAAUGGAGAAGGCCAGUUUCCGAGUAGCCGCCAAAUCAGUUGGCAGCAACCACAGACAAACCUCUCCAUAUGAUCUUAACAGGCUGUGGGGCUCAUGGUGAAGAAUCCAUUCUCUUAAAUACCCAGUGCCUAAGCUGUUUAAGGCUUUAUAAGUAAUAACCACACCUUUUAUUUUGCCCGGAAAUGAAGGCAGCCAGUGUAGUUCUUUCAACACAGCAGUGAUAUAGUCUCUCCUAGAUGACCCAGAGACCAACCUGCCUGGUACAAUUUGGACCAAUGGUAGUUUCCAUACUAUGUACAAAGGCAACCCCACAUAGAGCACAUCGCAGUAAUCCAGCCUAGAGGUUACCAACAUAUGUACUACCAUUUUGAGGCCAUUCAUCUCAAAAAACAGACACAGCUGGCAAAUCAGCCGAAGCUGAUAAAAAGCAACUCUGGCUACCACCUCAACCUGGGACACCAGAGAGAGGUUCAGAUCCAGAAGCAACCCCAUACUGUGUACCUGAUCCAAAUCGUCUCCUGAGUUCUGACCCCACACAAUAAGUACCUCCAUCUUAUCUGGAUUCAGCCUCAGUUGGUUAUCCCUCAUCUAGCCCAUUACUGCCUCGAGGCAGGCAUUUAGGGAGGUUAUGCCUUCUCCUGAUGAUGUUGACAUGGAGAAAUAGAUUUGGGUGUCAUCAGCAUAUUGAUAACACCCAGCACCAAAUCUCCAGAUGAUCUCUCCCAACGGUUUCAUGUAGAUAUUAAACAACAUUGGAGACAGUAUGGAGACCUGAGGGACACCAUAUAAAAGCUCAGAUUUUGAAGAGUAACAAUGGAAGCUGAGUGAUUGCUUGCUUCUAUGGACAGGUGUCUUUUAUACAGGUACUGUAACAAGCUGGGAUUAGGAGCACUCCCUUACAGAGGGUGUUCCUCAUCUCAGCUCAUUACCUGCAUAUAGUGAAAAGACACCUGGGAGCCUGAAAUCUUGCUGGUUGAUAGGGGAUCGAAUACUUAUUUCCCUCACUACAAUGCAAAUCCAUCGCUGACUUUUGGGCACUGGGCUUUUGAGGGUUUGUUUGUUGUUAUUCUGUCUCUCACAGCUACAAUAAACCUACCAUUCCAA